AUUAUAAGAUUAUCUACAGAGGUAUUACCUCCGAUAAUACUCGUUAAAGGUUCUAACAUAUUCGAAAUUAGUUGGAAAUUAAAGGAAACAUCAUAAUAUGGGUAAUAAAUGAAAGAAUCACAUCUUCAGGGAGCAACAAGCGAAAGAGAAUUGAGAAGAAAGCAUAAACCUUUCACGAUUAUACAUGCAAAUAUGCCAGUUGGCAUGCGAAACAACUUACAAGCCAUGAAGCAUCAAAUCGAUUAAUCGCGUAGCCACUCGCUGGGAUCGGCAACAGAUUUUAAUAAGUUUAUCCCGAUUUUGGACCAAUACGCUGCAACAUCUCACAAUAUUGUUCUAAAGCAUGCCAAGUGAGCGAAGCAUUCAUCGCCGUCGCUAAUAAAUCCAGCACAUUCCUGCAGGAUCUUGCGUUUAAUAUUUUUUUUUUUGGAAAGUCAAAAAAAGCUUAUUGGGCUAUUAUAAUUAGCUUAAGCAUUUCUACAUAAUCCAAAAUAAAUCAGUUUCUAAAACUA